rnacentral:lncRNA from 1 species
GUGGCGGAUAAACAAGAAAGGCCGUUGUUUUCAAAACGGAAAGCCCAUUUCUGCAAACAGAGAUGUAAUAUUGUAGACGAAAUCAAAUUUUAGAUUUUGUUGAUGUAGCGAUGAACUAUAUUUGUAAUGUGCAAGCAAAUGCGAAGGCCUUUAUCGUGAUAUUUUUCUCCUUCUCUAACAAUCCUUUUAUUUGAAAGUUGAAGUAAGACGACGAGAAAUCAACUUCCGUGUCGUCAACUUCGGUUGUAAGACGUGCAUGUUUCGAAUCCAUCGUAAGAGAAACUCAUUAGAUUUUCUUCUAUCAUAAAAACGAGCGCUGCUCUCUUUGCAGCAUAAUAGUCGUAAAUAAUUAACUUUCACUAUGGACAUAGUUAUCGACAACUUUAUUUAGCAAAAACAACAAUGGCAACGAAGUGCAUGGCACGCAUUAAACGGCUUCUAUCUAUUGCGCGCCAACUGUAAUCCCGCCCCUUAGAAAUAUUGUCAUUGUCACAGCCCAACGUGCUUUGCGAACGCAUGCUGCUAGAUCAUGUUGUUUUACUUGGAGAAGAUGGGUUGAUCUUUGUGAUUGAUAAUUUUUGGAGGAUGAUAUGGAAGUUGAUUUGUCCAAUAAAAGGAUUGUUAUAAAAGGAGAAAAUAUAACGACAAAGGACUUCGCAUUUGAUUCUCCUGGCUUGCACGUUACAAGUAGUUCAUCGUUAUACAGUGGGGGUCAAAAGCAGUGGCGUACUACGCAGACCUUCAUUUUGGAGGGGGGGGGGAGCAAACUCAUGCAAGGCAUGAGACCGUCUUGGGGGAGGGGGGGGUUCGGGGGCAUGCACCCCCAAGAAAAUUUUAAAAUCUAGAUCCCCUGAAAUGCGAUUUCAAGCAUUUUGGGAGUGAAAUCUUGGACAAUUCUGAAAAUUAUUUUCCCAGACAUUUCUCCUCGGAGUUAAAUAAGUUGGAAAAGUCACCUUGAAAAGCCACCUUAUAUGCCACUGGUCAAAAGUCUGAGUCCAGUCAAUAUGAUCUUGCCUUUUUAUAUUGAUAUACAAUACAUUUUGACACAACACACUACUAUAUGUGCAACAAAUAAGGAUAUACACUACCGUUGGAAUUGAUUAUACUAUAUUAGCCAAGUGAAUAUUAUAUUGAUAUUUGUGUGACCUCCUUUUGAUUUUAAAACAGCUUAAAAUCUUCCUGGCAUACAUGUAGACUGAACAAAUUUUGAUGGUUUUUUUCUUAGUAUUUAAUAUGGUUUUUCUUAGUAUUGAUGGUUUUCAAGGUUAUUCCAGAAUUAUUGAUUAACAACAUGCUAUUGGUUGGCUGCUUUUAGUUGUGGGAUUAUGUUUCACUUUUCAUAAAUUCUCAAUAGGAUUUAGGUCCGGCUGGAAGUUGAGGCAGAAAUCCAGAACAACCAGAUCACACUAUACCAUCUACAGUAGCUCAAGGUUGUGUGGAAGGAGAUUUGUCUUGCAACGGAUAAUGAUCCGAACCACCCUUCUCACAUGUGUAAAAAUUAUUUAAGAAGAAAGCACGAGAAAGGCAAUUUAGUUGUUACAAAAUUUUCUUCCUCAAUCUCGGGACGUAAAUCCUAUUGAGAAUUUAUGGGACCAUUUAAAACAAGAGAAAGUGAAACAAGAUACCACAAGUAAAGACAACCUACUGUAUAGCAUGUCCUUAAUCAAUGCUGGAAUAACCUUAAGCCAGUAGUACUUAGAACACUUGUUGAACUAUGCCAGAAAGAGUUAAAGCUAUAUUCUAAAAUCAAAAGGAGGUCACACAAAAUAAUGUUCACUUGGCUAAUAUUAAUUAUAAUAAAAUCAAUCCCAACAUUGAUGGAAAUCCUAAUUUGAUGCACAUACUGUAUAUUAAUUAAUGCUCUGUUGUGUGAAAAUAUAUUGUAUAAAAAUAUAUCUAUCAGUCAAACGGAAUCAACUGUAUGUAUGCGAUACCCUUGGACAUGCAUGCAUGCUUGCAAUGUUCUAUUUCAUAAAAGAAAUUAAGUGUUCAACUGGCAUUAGCAACAUGCAUGUAAGUCUCUUCUUUCCACUGCAGGGAAUAAGAAUAUGUUCCAAAAAUAAAAACACAUUCUUACUGUGUCAAGUUACACCUUCAGCACUAUACACAUACAAUAUGCAAACAAAAUACAGAUAUUUAAGAUAUUUACAGCUUUCAGUUUGGUGACAACCAUUCCUUCAGCAACAAACAUCAUGCAGAAGUCUUGGAGAUACAUAUUUCUUGAUCUUCUUUGUAACAUCAUCAUCCUGUUGAUUGUAGGUAAAACAGGAAAAGAUAAGUGCAUGCAUAUCAAGACUGACUAUAUGAUUGAUAAUAUUACUGACGAAACACACUUAGAGUACAUCAACAAUCUCCCAAUGAAAACAGUUCCCAUAAUACCAAGGAUGGAUUUUUGAUUUUUGGUGGAAAUAGUGGGGGAAGUGGAAAUAAAUUUAGGGAAGGUGAAGCACUUAACCCAUUGAGUGACAGCACUCUGACAAGUGAAAUUGUCUGACAUCCAAAGUGGGGCACAUUGCCACUUGAAGGGUUAGUUGGGUGCAUGGACGGAUAGUUUGAUUAACCCAUUGAGUGGCGGCACUCUCCCCCUGACAAGUGAAAUUGUCUGUCAUCUAAUUAGACAGUAAAAUAAUAAAGUGGGGCACAUUGCCACUUGAAGGGUUGAUAGGGUGCAUGGACAGAUAGUUUGAUUAACCCAUUGAGUGGCGGCACUCUCCUCCUGACAAGUGAAAUUGUCUGACAUCUAAUUAGACAGUAAAAUAAUAAAGUGGGGCACAUUGCCACUUGAAGGGUUAGUAGGGUGCAUGGACAGAUAGUUUGAUUAACCCAUUGAGUGGCAGCACUCUCCCCCUGACAAGUGAAAUUGUCUGACAUCUAAUUAGACAGUAAAAUAAUAAAGUGAGGCACAUUGCCACUUGAAGGGU